AUUUGUAAUCAGGGUGUUUGCAUGAGAAGAAGUUCCAGUCGAUGCUCCGCAGGCUGCUUCAGUUUCAUGUGAAACAGUCAUUGAUGAUGAACCUACCUACCUGAACUUUGACCCCUCAGGCUGAUUAUUUCAGUGCUCAUCAUUGCGGACUAAGCCCAGUUUUGGAAUUGUGCUUUAAUCAAUCAGUACUUGUGGAUACAAGGCCUGAUCUCAGAUCAGGACCACCAAAUACUGCAACAGAGGACAGAUGAAGAUUUUAAAAUAUGAUUUUAAGUCCAGAGAAGUUGUCAAGGAGACUCAGCAACAGCCUAGUGAACAAAAGGUGUGAACUGGGUACCAGAUGAAGCAUUUGAAUCAAAUCAGGAAGAACUUGUGAGUGAAAUUCCAGUAACAACAGUCAUGAAGUUGUGGUGUCUUCUACCUUCAGCAGCUGGCAUAUUUUUCCCAAGAUGUUAUUUCCUCAGCUUCUGCUGUAGAUACUUCUUUGGCUGUUUGUGUGGACACCAUGCAAAGACCUCUCAAUGCAGACCUACAAUGUUGGUGAAGGGCAAUGGAAGAUUGGUCCUGAGUUCCCUAGUUGGACUGGUGCUGUGGCCAUGACAUCUACUUAUGCAGCACAGUGCAUUACGUGAUAUUAAAUUCUGUGUUCAUGUUUCUGCUCUAGGCAGUACUACUCAAUCCAAAAUGUUUGUUGAAUGGUUAACAGGGUAACAAUGGCAAUAGAAAGGGCUGGCUCAAGUGAAAGAAAAAAAGAUUUUUGAACCCAAAAUUUGGUUUGUAACGGACUUUUUUCACUCUAAUACACCUGUUCUGGUCUGAUUUUUUUAAUUUUAUAAGACCAUAUAGUUCUAGCCCAAAAGUAGUUAUUUUGUAUUUGGCUCUGUAUAUAGCAUCACUUCUUUAAUCCUGUAAGCUUCUGUUAUUUUCUCUCUGACAGAACGCCCUUCUCGACCCGAACAAGAUGGGUUGCCAAACAGACUGAUGGACUGAUACAGCUCAACAGUUCCUAUUUGAUUGCUUGUGGUUUUUCUUCUAUUUUUUUUUUCCUCUGCUUUAGUUACAAUACAGUAAACAGGAGUUUACUUUCCUCACCUUCUAGCAUAACUCGGAAAUUCUAGGAAGUAAAUUGUCUGCAUUAUUUCAAAGCUUUCCCUGCUUCACGAGUGACAGAGUCACAGUGUGUCUGUUUACCACUGAAGGAAGCUGACAAGUUCUAAAGGUUGACUUCCUCACUAUCUCUUUUGUGGAACUGUCCAAGAAAUGUGAUUCAUGGGGAAAAAUAGGGAGGUGUGACUACAGGAAAUUACAUAUAAUCAUUAUUCAUUUGCACUUUUUUGUUUGUUUCAUUUGGGUUUUGUUUGGUUGGUUUUUUUAAAUGUGUCAUUCAGUUCUUUACUAUCUUUUGCAGGAAGGGAUGAAUGCAUUGGUGGAGACCCAUAGACCUAAGCUGAGGGCUUAGAAAGGGCUGAGACUUUAUUGCCAUAGGAAGGCUAGGAACAGUGCAAAGGUGUUUAACCUGUGCUUUGUAUAAUUCAUGUUUGGCCAGGAUAAGCUGUUUGGUUUUUUUCUUAAUAUAUAUUAGCACCUAAAGAGCAUGUGCAAACCUAAUAAACUACUUCAAGAGCAUAAGGACCACUGGUGUUCACAUACAUCUUUAAAUCCCUCAGUGAGGCGAAUCAAUUUUUUCCUUCCUAAAAGCAGUUUCAGAAAAUAAAUCACUGUUUUCUACAGUGAGUGAAGAGUA